UUGUACUUCACCAAAAUCGAUGGAAACAACACUCGUUGCCACAAGUGUAACAAAUGUUUUGCAAGUAAAGGUGUUAAGACAAGCGAUCUGCUAGUCCCAGUCAGGACUGUUCAAGAUGGCGCUGCGUAUGGCUGCCUCAAGACAACAGCUGCAGCUAGUGGGAGGAGACUGAGGAGAGGGUGAAUGAGUUCCACCUCACUGUAACCCACUUCAUAGUGAAAGACCUACAACCCUUUACAACAGUAGAGUCCAAGAGCUUUAGGGGGCAGACAUCCCCCUCUGGGUCGCCAAUUCCCCGGUGUCAUGGCGACCAGGAGAUCUGGCCUGUUUUACCUGGUUCUCUACCUGGCACCAGGGAAAAAGGAAUCAGUAGCGGGCAGGACUGUAUUUAUCCUUAUGUUUGUUAAUUUUAUUAUUUAAGAGGCAUCUUUUUUUGAGUGUUAUUUCAUGUAUUAGGAAUUGAAUGAAUUGUUCUUAUUUAUUUAUUUUAACGAUGUA